rnacentral:rRNA from 1 species
UACAGAGGGGGCAAGCGUUUAUUCGGAAUUAUUGGGCGUAAAGGGCGCGUAGGCGGCUUUGCAAGUGACGGGUGAAAUCCCUCGGCUUAACCGAGGAACUGCCUGUCAGACUGUGAGGCUUGAGACCGGGAGAGGUGAGUGGAAUUCCCAGUGUAGCGGUGAAAUGCGUAGAUAUUGGGAGGAACACCAGUGGCGAAGGCGGCUCACUGGACCGGAACUGACGCUGAGGCGCGAAAGCGUGGGGAGCAAACAGG